rnacentral:lncRNA from 1 species
AAUUUGGCCAAAAUAUUAUCUCUUAUCUUGUUGGAGUUGGAACUAGGAUCCUUGGGCUUGAUUCUGACCAGGUCUAGCUCAGGCAUGCAGUUUAAUAUCCGGGCUUGCAUUAGACCCAAUCCUGACUUAUCUUGACCUAAGCAAGUAUAGCUCCAGAGAAAGGGGCUCUAUCGGAUUGGAGAGGAGGAAGAGAUUCCAUAUGUAUGGUAACUAAAGGAGAGGAGGAGGGAGGG